rnacentral:ncRNA from 2 species
AGAGUUAAACAGUACGUGAAAUUGUUGAAAGGGAAACGAUUGAAGCCAGUCGUACCUAUGGGUAAUCAGCCUUUUGGGUGUGAUUUUGUGGAGUGUGAAGAGUUAAACGCCUUCAUGCCUGCAUAUUCGUGCACUUUGGGUGUACUUGCCCGUGUGUAAGUUAACAUCAAUUUUGGUGGUCAUAAAAUGGCUGGAGGAAUGUAGCUUCGAUCUUGUAUUGAAGUGUUAUAGCCUUCGGUAGAUGUGACGAUCGGGAUUGAGGAUUGCAACGGAUACCCUUCGGGGCUACCUGUCUGAUCUCUGAUUGUUGCUCUGGUAUCGAAAGCUUGCUUACGGUUAUCAAAGUCGAUGGUCAAUAGGUUAGAACGGGUUAAAUUCGUUAAGGAUGUUGACGUAAUGGCUUUAAACGACC